rnacentral:rRNA from 1 species
AUUGAACGCUAGCGGGAUGCUUUACACAUGCAAGUCGAACGAGUGGCGGACGGGUGCGUAAUAUAUCGGAACGUGCCCAGUAGCGGGGGAUAACUACUCGAAAGAGUGGCUAAUACCGCAUACUAUUGCAGCGGCCGAUAUCGGCUUAGCUAGUUGGUGGGGUAAAGGGUCACCAAGGCAACGAUCCGUAGCCGGUUUGGGAGGACGACCAGCCAAAUGGGGACUGAGAAACGGCCCAGACUCCUACGGGAGGCAGCAGUGGGGAAUGUUGGACAAUGGGGGAAACCCUGAUCCAGACAUCCCGCGUGGAGGAGAAGGCCUUCGGGUUGUAAAGUACUUUUGGCAGAGAAGCGGUAUCUGCAGAAUAAGCACCGGCUAACUACGUGCCAGCAGCCGCGGUAAUUC